rnacentral:lncRNA from 1 species
AAAGGUUCAAAAACAUACAUAUUAGAUUGAAUGAUGAUUUUAAAUUGUAGGAAUAGGUGUGAUAGUUGAUAUUUUUCUGUGUGCAGAUGACUUGCAGCCAUUCGUAGCCAUACCUGAACCCAAGGAGAGCUGGAAUAGACUGUAGUACCUUGAAACCCCCAGCAGUUUAAUAAAAGAAUGAAUGGACACGUACCGUAUGCUUCCUGUGAAGCAUUAGCAUUUAACCUUAACAGAGUUUUACUGGAAUGCCAAUCCUGAAUGCUGAUGCACUGCACUAAUCUACUGUCUCAGCCCUCCUGCAAAGACAGAUGAAUACCUCCACCACAAGCCAAUGGCAAUUCAAUGGGCUCUUGGCCUCCUGUCAAACCUCAAUUUAUAACACUGUGUACCACUUUUAAAAGACCUUCUCCACCACCACUCCUCCAUC